rnacentral:lncRNA from 1 species
UAGUGCUAGCUAGACAUACUUAAUUCUUAAAUCCCAUUUAGCCCAUAACUUCAUUCUCAAUCAAGUUAGUCUAUAUAUUCAAUCAAGUUAAGUACUUUUAAAUUGUAUAUAUAAACAUAGGCCAAUACUUUUUUACAUUGUCUGACUUGUGUGUAUGACUCCAUAGGUUCGAACACUAAGCCGAUAGCACAGGAACCGAUUCAUGCACCAAUUAAAAAUCCCAUCUAGCAAUGGUUCCUGAUAUAUGGAU